GAUGGAUAAGUAUUUGUCAGGGAUAAAAAUAACAGCUCAGAAGAUAAUCACUACCUUGACAGGGUAGAGGUCGCUGGUUCGAGCCCAGUCGGAAUCA
rnacentral:tRNA from 1 species